rnacentral:rRNA from 1 species
AUGGAUGGACGGACGGACGGAGACGGGUGGAAACCGCGGCGGCGGGGCCGCUUGUAUCGCUGCUCUUGUUGCUAUCCUGUCUGGCCUUUUGGACUGUUCCCCGCGGCUCACCUCACCUCUCUCAGCGGCGCGCGUGCCUCUGCGCUCUCCGCUGCAUAUGCCCUGCUGCCGCUGUGCUGUGCUGUGCUGUGCCUGCGCCUGCGUGCGUACGCGGCGUGCCCGUGCUACAGGCCGGGAUGCCCGGAUGGGCGGUCUCCUCCGUGGCUCGUGACCGCUCCGUGCCACAGCCUCGCGCUGCAACCACGUUCUCAAAAUAGCCCUCCUCGUUUGUCAGACGUUUCAACAAACAGGUUAUGUGCGUCGUAA